AGCUCCAAUAGCGUAUAUUAAAAUUGUUGCGGUUAAAACGCUCGUAGUUGGAUAUUUGUUGAAGAAUGUUGGUCCACCCCAGCGGUGAGUACUCGGUAUAUCUUCGACAUCUUACUGGGGAAAGUAUUUCCACUUUAUUGCGGGGGUACACGAUCCAGAACUUUUACUUUGAGGAAAUGAGAGUGUUUCAAGCAGGCCUAGCCAUGAAUACGUUAGCAUGGAAUAAUAGCAUAGGACCUUGUGUCGUAUCUGUUGGUUGACGGCAUGAGGUAAUAAAAUAGGGAUAGUUGGGGGCAUUCGUAUUGCAAUGUCAGAGGUGAAAUUCUUGGAUUUUUGCAAGACGAACUACUGCGAAAGCAUUUGCCAAGGAUGUUUUUA
rnacentral:rRNA from 1 species